rnacentral:antisense_RNA from 1 species
ACCGCUGGCUGCAUCGCUCCCCUGACUUCUUCCGGGCUCCCAGAGCACCGCUAUGGAGAUGCUCUCCCGGCAUUUGAGGAAGAAUUGAUUGUCCUCAUCCUGCAACUGUACUUGCCCAACCGAUAUUUAUUGUUGCCUGCAGUGUCCUGGGUGCCUACCCAGGGGCACAGAACUGGAUCCCACUCAGACCCUGCCUGCCCUCAGGUUGCUUGAAGAUGAACAGAGAGAUCGGACCUCUGCAUGAAGCCAGACUGCUCAUCAUUCCAGACAUCUUCAGCUGCUACACCCAGAACAAGCAUUCGAAAUAUGAACAGGAUGAGACACUCUUCUAUGUUGCCCAGGCUGGUCUCAGACUCCUGGACUCAAAGUGAUCCUCCUUCGUCAGCCUCCCAAGUAGCUGGGACUGCAGAUUCAUGCUCUCCAUCUCCAGAUCAUGAACAGCAGCCAUUGUCCUGGGUCCUCCCUCCUCCCCAGAAGGACAUGAAUCCCAGGGAACAGCAGGUGGCCCUAGGUCCUCAGGCUGCAGCUCUUCCCUGGGCUGUCUGGCGCAACCACUGCUUUCCAAGGCCUUUCCUGUAUGUGAAGAGAAGACAGCUGAAGAUGAUCAAAAUGAUCUAAACCUCCUAAAUAGC